rnacentral:rRNA from 1 species
GAUGAACGCUGGCGGCGUGCCUAAUACAUGCAAGUCGAGCGAACAGACGAGGAGCUUGCUCCUCUGACGUUAGCGGCGGACGGGUGAGUAACACGUGGAUAACCUACCUAUAAGACUGGGAUAACUUCGGGAAACCGGAGCUAAUACCGGAUAACAUGUUGAACCGCAUGGUUCAACAGUGAAAGACGGUCUUGCUGUCACUUAUAGAUGGAUCCGCGCCGCCUUAGCUAGUUGGUAAGGUAACGGCUUACCAAGGCAACGAUGCGUAGCCGACCUGAGAGGUUGAUCGGCCACACUGGAACUGAGACACGGUCCAGACUCCUACGGGAGGCAGCAGUAGGGAAUCUUCCGCAAUGGGCGAAAGCCUGACGGAGCAACGCCGCGUGAGUGAAGAAGGUCUUCGGAUCGUAAAACUCUGUUAUUAGGGAAGAACAAAUGUGUAAGUAACUAUGCACGUCUUGACGGUACCUAAUCAGAAAGCCACGGCUAACUACGUG